CUACGGAGGGUCCAAGCGUUAUCCGGAUUCAUUGGGUUUAAAGGGUCCGCAGGCGGGAAAAUAAGUCAGUGGUGAAAGCCUACAGCUCAACUGUAGAACUGCCAUUGAUACUGUUUUUCUUGAGUAUAGAUGAAGUGGGCGGAAUAUAUCAUGUAGCGGUGAAAUGCAUAGAUAUGAUAUAGAACACCGAUUGCGAAGGCAGCUCACUAAACUAUUACUGACGCUCAGGGACGAAAGCGUGGGGAGCGAACGGGAUUAGAUACCCUAGUAGUCC
rnacentral:rRNA from 1 species